rnacentral:rRNA from 1 species
UACGAAGGGGGCUAGCGUUGCUCGGAAUGACUGGGCGUAAAGGGCGCGUAGGCGGUUUGUACAGUCAGAUGUGAAAUUCCUGGGCUCAACCUGGGGGCUGCAUUUGAUACGUAUGGACUGGAGUGAGGAAGAGGGUCGUGGAAUUCCCAGUGUAGAGGCGAAAUUCGUAGAUAUUGGGAAGAACACCGGUGGCGAAGGCGGCGACCUGGUCCUUUACUGAGCUGAGGCGCGAAAGCGUGGGGAGCAAACAGG